GACGAACGCUGGCGGCGUGCCUAAUACAUGCAAGGUCGAGCGGAAUGAAGAAGAAGCUUGCUUCUUCUGAUUUUGCGGCGGACGGGUGAGUAACACGUGGGCAACCUACCUUGUAGAUUGGGAUAACUCCGGGAAACCGGGGCUAAUACCGAAUAAUCCAUUUUGCUUCAUGGCGAGAUGUUAAAAGGCGGCUUCGGCUGUCACUACGAGAUGGGCCCGCGGCGCAUUAGCUAGUUGGUAGGGUAAUGGCCUACCAAGGCGACGAUGCGUAGCCGACCUGAGAGGGUGAUCGGCCACACUGGGACUGAGACACGGCCCAGACUCCUACGGGAGGCAGCAGUAGGGAAUCUUCCACAAUGGACGAAAGUCUGAUGGAGCAACGCCGCGUGAGUGAAGAAGGUUUUCGGAUCGUAAAACUCUGUUGUAAGGGAAGAACACGUACGAGAGUAACUGCUCGUACCUUGACGGUACCUUAUUAGAAAGCCACGGCUAACUACGUG
rnacentral:rRNA from 1 species